rnacentral:rRNA from 1 species
CCUACGGGAGGCAGCAGUGGGGAAUAUUGCACAAUGGGGGCAACCCUGAUGCAGCGACGCCGCGUGGGUGACGAAGUAUUUCGGUAUGUAAAGCCCUAUCAGCAGGGAAGAAGAUGACAGUAUCUGACUAAGAAGCCCCGGCUAACUACGUGCCAGCAGCCGCGGUAAUACGUAUGGGGCAAGCGUUAUCCCGGUUUACUGGGUGUAAAGGGGGCGUAGGUGGCAUGGCAAGCCAGAAGUGAAAACCCGGGGCUUAACCCCGCGGAUUGCAUUUGGAACUGUCAGGCUGGAGUGCCUGAGGGUCAGGCGGAAUUCCUGGUGUAGCGGUGAAAUGCGUAGAUAUCAGGAGGAACACCGGUGGCGAAGGCGGACUGCUGGACUGUAACUGACGCUGAGGCUCGAAAGCGUGGGGAGCAAACAGGAUUAGAUACCCCGGUAGUC